CCUACGGGGGGCAGCAGUGGGGAAUAUUGGACAAUGGGCGAAAGCCUGAUCCAGCCAUGCCGCGUGUGUGAAGAAGGCCUUCGGGUUGUAAAGCACUUUCAGUGGGGAAGAAAGCCUUGGGGCUAAUACCCUCGAGGAAGGACAUCACCCACGGAAGAAGCACCGGCUAACUCCGUGCCAGCAGCCGCGGUAAUACGGAGGGUGCGAGCGUUAAUCGGAAUUACUGGGCGUAAAGCGCGCGUAGGCGGUCUGAUAAGCCGGUUGUGAAAGCCCCGGGCUCAACCUGGGAACGGCAUCCGGAACUGUCAGGCUAGAGUGCAGGAGAGGAAGGUAGAAUUCCCGGUGUAGCGGUGAAAUGCGUAGAGAUCGGGAGGAAUACCAGUGGCGAAGGCGGCCUUCUGGACUGACACUGACGCUGAGGUGCGAAAGCGUGGGUAGCAAACAGGAUUAGAUACCCGAGUAGUC
rnacentral:rRNA from 1 species